UGGGUCGGCUGGAUGGUCGCGUCGCGCACGGCUUGCCGUGUCGCGCCGAGGAACGUCCGGGCUCCACAGGGCAGGGCGGUGGUCAACAGCCACCCGGAGUGAUCCGCGAGACAGUGCCACAGAGAGCAGACCGCCGGCGCAAGCCGGUAAGGGUGAAAGGGCGGUGUAAGAGACCACCGGGGUCGCGGCGACGCGACUCGCACGGCAAACCUCGCCCGGAGCAAGGUCAGACAGGGGAUGAUGACGCGGCCCGCCGAGUCCCCGGGUAGACCGCUGGAGCGGCACGGCAACGUGUCGCCGAGAGAGAUGACCAUCCACGGGGCUUCGGCCCCCGGACAGAACCCGGCGUACAGGCCGGCCCAUUCG
rnacentral:RNase_P_RNA from 1 species